CGUAACACGUAUGUAACCUACCUUUGUCAGGGGAUAGCCUCUCGAAAGAGAGAUUAAGACCGCAUAACAUUGUUGAACAGCAUUGUUUAACAAUCAAAUAUUUAUAGGACAAAGAUGGGCAUGCGGGACAUUAGCUAGUUGGCGGGGUAACGGCCCACCAAGGCGACGAUGUCUAGGGGAUCUGAGAGGAUGACCCCCCACACUGGUACUGAGACACGGACCAG
rnacentral:rRNA from 1 species